rnacentral:lncRNA from 1 species
AUGCAUGGCUGAGGGGCAGUCUUUCAGGCUGGGGCUUGGUUGCUCGUUUCAGGAGGGUGAGACCAAGGACGGGUUGGCUGCUCCUGGAGGAAAACCAGGUGAAAACAACUCAGAGCCCAAAGACCCCAGGAAGCCAGAAGGGAGUGACAAAAAUUACACAGCUGCUGUGACCAAGGAGAAGGAGCAGAAGAAUCAGAAAGCCAGUGCGAAGGCCGUCCCCGUGAGCUGGCUGAAGCCCGAGGAGGGGAUCACUGUGCACUUCCACGCCAUCAUCCCCAAGCAUGUCACCUUCGACCCCGAGCUCCACACGGUGUUCAUCAGGGGAGGAGAAGAGCUCGGACAGCCCAAGUGGAGUGACGCUUGCAAGAUGUACUACAUUGCGGACUUACAUGAGUACGGAUCCCUCAUCGAGGGCAGCGUUGUCAUUCCCAGGCAGAGCCUGGAUAGAGCCAUUCCUUACAAGUACGUCCUUCACCGUGGCCGCAGUCGCAGCUCUGUGGAGUACGAGUACAUCUACAAGCAGCCGCAGAAGGCAGGCGAGCACGUGAACCGCUGCCUGUGUGUCAAGUCCUCCCUCCUGUGCUCCAGAGACUGGCAUCAAUAUGAUGACAUAAUUUGCAUGAAGCCUCCUGGGACCUUCCAGAAAUUUCAGAACCUCUUCACUAAUAAGAUGAAGAAGGAGCUGGUGAAGGGGAAGAUGAUAGCAGCCGAGAUCAUGCUGGGCCGCAUCUUCAGCAACCUCCAGACCUGGAACCUCGUCAACCUGCAGAACUUCUUCACCCAGUUCCGGCAGUUUUACUCUGUUGUCCGAAUGCCUAUGAUUUAUGAAGGGAAAGCACAGCCCUGGCACAGCCUGGGCCUCGAAGAGGAGGAGGUAUCAGGCUUCCCCCGGUCACCAGCAGCUCUGGUGUGGGUGACCUACUACUGGUAAUGAGACCCUGUGACUGACUGGGGCAGCUGCAGAGGGGCAGUAGGAUCUUU